rnacentral:lncRNA from 1 species
AGAAGAUAAAGGAGGGAUCUGGCUAUAGUCUGAGAACAGUGCAGAUAGGUGGGAGACUCUGAUGGCCAGAAGCUGAAUUAAAACAAGCUUUGACAUGAACAAACAUCUGAGUUUCACAGUUCUACUCUUACAAAUAUGACUAAUAUUAGUGUAGAAAGAUGGAAGAACCUGGAAGAGAGGACAGACAAGAAUACCAGCCUUUUGGAAAAAGUCCUUCAUUGUCUCCAUCGUCGAUGUCCUGUGACAUGAGAGCAACUGAUGUGAGCAUGCUCUCAUGACUUGGGAGUACCACCAAGCACCCAGAGAGCAAGAGGGGGGCUGUAGAAAUUUGCUAAAGAGGCGCCAUCAAAGUGAAAACACCAUCAUUCAUUUCCAGUCAAAAGAAAACCAGUGCUGUCCAUGGCCCCUCAAGGGCAGGCAGGGGUUCUGCAGCUGGCUGCUGCUGCUCAAGGUGGGGUACCCACUGCUGGCCAGUGCAAGCUUCUCUCCGCUGUGCAUUCCACACAGACCCUUCACAUCCUCUGUGCUGAGCAUCAGGUAAGAAUAUUUUGAUCCCAUCUCAUGCCCUUGCUCCCUGUUCGCUUGCAUCUCAUACACUUAGGUUACAGGGACACCACCAUCAUCCCACCCAGUCAUGUGCUGGGUCCUGCUGGGG